GCAGGAUCUUCAUUCUUGCCCUGCUCUCCCGGCCCGGCACCCUCCCACUGAGGAUGGGAGAUGGCUCUGGGGAAAUUCCAUUCCGUAAUUCAUUUAAGCAGGAUAAACAGAGCUCCUGCUCUGGAAGAUCCAGCCCUGAGCAAAAGGCACUUGGAAUCGACAUGAGGGGCUCGAAUGUCCCUGUGAAACAUAAACAUAAGGAGGCAGGAGACAUGAGAUGCAGCCGGCUCUGACCCCAAAAAGCCAUGGGACCUGACCACCUGGGAGGAGCUAGAGGACGAAGAACUUCACAGAAGAAUGGAGUCCCAAAGAAACAGCUUCAGGAACUGAGGAGAGCCAGAAAUUUAAUGUAUUUAGGGCUCCCUUGUGAAAACACAAAAACAAAAAUAAAAAUGCCUCCCGCUGCCUCGACAUCUCUAUUGCACUGAUGCCCGACCAUUCUUUUGAAAAACAAACGGAAAAAGUGAAGUGUUGAUGACAGUCGCUGGGGGGUUAGAGUAAGGCCCUGUUGUGGAAGAGCCCUGCUGUUUCACAAAAGACGAGCUUUGUCUUGACUGACAUGUCCUUAAAAACAAAACCACAAGUAAACUCUGGGAUGUGUGUGUGUGUGUGCACGCGCGCAUGUGCAUGCUGAUACCCGCUAAUGGGUGAAUUGGGGGUGGGGC
rnacentral:lncRNA from 1 species